AGACCCGAAACCCGGUGAUCUAGCCAUGGGCAGGUUGAAGGUUGGGUAACACUAACUGGAGGACCGAACCGACUAAUGUUGAAAAAUUAGCGGAUGACCUGUGGCUGGGGGUGAAAGGCCAAUCAAACCGGGAGAUAGCUGGUUCUCCCCGAAAGCUAUUUAGGUAGCGCCUCGUGAAUUCAUCUCCGGGGGUAGAGCACUGUUUCGGCUAGGGGGCCAUCCCGGCUUACCAACCCGAUGCAAACUGCGAAUACCGGAGAAUGUUAUCACGGGAGACACACGGCGGGUGCUAACGUCCGUCGUGAAGAGGGAAACAACCCAGACCGCCAGCUAAGGUCCCAAAGUCAUGGUUAAGUGGGAAACGAUGUGGGAAGGCCCAGACAGCCAGGAUGUUGGCUUAGAAGCAGCCAUCAUUUAAAGAAAGCGUAAUAGCUCACUGGUCGAGUCGGCCUGCGCGGAAGAUGUAACGGGGCUAAACCAUGCACCGAAGCUGCGGCAGCGAACGUAUCACUUAAAGCGAUUCAGCGGGUUACGAUUGACGGAGCGAAGCGACGUCAAAGCGUAUACAAAGUCGAGUCGGUUUAAGGAUACGUUCGUUGGGUAGGGGAGCGUUCUGUAAGCCCGUGAAGGUGGCCUGUGAGGGUUGCUGGAGGUAUCAGAAGUGCGAAUGCUGACAUAAGUAACGAUAAAGCGGGUGAAAAGCCCGCUCGCCGGAAGACCAAGGGUUCCUGUCCAACGUUAAUCGGGGCAGGGUGAGUCGACCCCUAAGGCGAGGCCGAAAGGCGUAGUCGAUGGGAAACGGGUUAAUAUUCCCGUACUUGGUGUUACUGCGAAGGGGGGACGGAGAAGGCUAUGUUGGCCGGGCGACGGUUGUCCCGGUUUAAGCGUGUAGGUGUGUGUUCCAGGUAAAUCCGGUUCACUU
rnacentral:rRNA from 1 species